AGUUUGGAGUUGAAUUUCGUUUAGUACACACGAAGUGUUUCCUUGCUAUUAAACAUCACGCUAUGGCGACUACAAAAUAAUAAAGUAACCAAAGCCUCGACCAAUGUCGUAACUUGUAUCUAAUAAAUCUAAAAAGAUCUUAAUCAAAUAAAAACAUCAAAAUUGGGUCCAAUCGCUUAACUUUAACCCGAAUAAAAUAAAAA
rnacentral:misc_RNA from 1 species